CCCUACGGGGUGCAGCAGGCGCGAAAACUUUACAAUGCUGGCAACAGCGAUAAGGGAACCUCGAGUGCCAGGUUACAAAUCUGGCUGUCGAGAUACCUAAAAAGCAUUUCAUAGCAAGGGCCGGGCAAGACCGGUGCCAGCCGCCGCGGUAACACCGGCGGCUCGAGUGGUAACCGUUAUUAUUGGGUCUAAAGGGUCUGUAGCCGGCCGGAUAAGUCUCUUGAGAAAUCUGGCAGCUUAACUGUCAGGCUUUCAGGAGAUACUGUCUGGCUCGAGGCCGGGAGAGGUGAGAGGUACUUCAGGGGUAGGGGUGAAAUCUUGUAAUCCUUGAAGGACCACCAGUGGCGAAGGCGUCUCACCAGAACGGACCAGACGGCAAGGGACGAAAGCUAGGGGCACGAACCGG
rnacentral:rRNA from 1 species